GUAGCCAAGGAUGACUUGCCCGCUACACUGAGAAGGCUUUGAUCUUGUUUGCUGUUAGAACUUUUUUUUGGCUUUGGGCAAUCAUCCUUGGUUAU
rnacentral:pre_miRNA from 1 species